rnacentral:misc_RNA from 1 species
GAUGAAGAACGCAGCGAAAUGCGAUACGUAAUGUGAAUUGCAGAAUUCAGUGAAUCAUCGAAUCUUUGAACGCAUAUUGCGCUCUCUGGUAUUCCGGAGAGCAUGCUUGUUUGAGUAUCAGUAAACACCUCAACUUCCAUAUCUUUUUUGAAAUGGGAGUUGGACUUGAGUGAUCCCAACGCUUUUCCUCACCGAAAAGUGGCGGGUUACUUGAAAUGCAGGUGCAGCUGGACUUUUCUCUGAGCUAGAAGCAUAUCUAUUUAGUCUGCCUAAAAAACAGAUUAUUACCUUUGCUGCAGCUAACAUAAAGGAGAUUAGUUCUUGUGCUGACUGAUGCAGGAUUCACAAAGACAGGCUUCGGCCGACUUUGUAAACUCGAUCUCAAAUCAAGUAAGACUACCCGCUGAACUUAAGCAUAUCAAUAAGCGGAGGA